CACGUAGUUAGCCGUGGCUUUCUCGCAAGGUACCGUCAAGGUACGAGCAUUCCCUCUCGUACUUGUUCUUCCCUUACAACAGAGUUUUACGAUCCGAAAACCUUCAUCACUCACGCGGCGUUGCUCCAUCAGACUUUCGUCCAUUGUGGAAGAUUCCCUACUGCUGCCUCCCGUAGGAGUCUGGGCCGUGUCUCAGUCCCAGUGUGGCCGAUCACCCUCUCAGGUCGGCUAUGCAUCGUCGCCUUGGUGGGCCAUUACCCCACCAACUAGCUAAUGCACCGCAAGGCCAUCCCAAGGUGACGCCGGAGCGCCUUUCAUCAUCAGACCAUGCGGUCUGAAGAACUAUUCGGUAUUAGCUCCGAUUUCUCGGAGUUAUCCCAAUCCUUGGGGCAGGUUCCUUACGUGUUACUCACCCGUCCGCCGCUCAUUCCCCUUCACUUUCCCCUCCGGAAGUACGUUUCCCGUGACGCCUUUCCUGCCGCUUCGACUUGCAUGUUAUUAGGCACGCCGCCAGCGUUCCG
rnacentral:rRNA from 1 species